rnacentral:lncRNA from 1 species
AGACACACCAGGCCGCCAUGUUGUGUAAGGUUAGUCUCUCAGCCUCCGCGAGAAGAAGGCGAAAAAUGGGGAGGAGCAGCCUGGUUACUUUCAAACGAGAAAGAACGGAUAUGUUAAGCGUGGAGGGCUCCUAAUGGUAGCGGUUUGAUUUUCAGUGAGUUUGGCGCGGUGGAGACGUCACCGCGGUCUAACAGUUCCGACGUGGUGGCGUCAUCACUGGCCGCCGUAGGAGGUGGAGCUACGUUGGCCUCGUGACCGGGCCCUGUAGCGGAAGCCCAGGUCAAGGCCCUAACAAAAGGGCCCGCCUAUGGCCACAGUUUCAGGCCCUCCUUUCAGUCAUGGACUGUUGAAGCACGAUUUCCUGGUGCUUUCGCCCCUUUCACCGACCAUUUCAAGAGUCCGUAGUUCUCGCCUGGGUUUGGAUUCGGUAUAAGUGAGCCUGUUUACCAUCAAAGAAAAUGGUGAAAUGUCUUCUGGAGACGAUGUUCUCUUCUGGUUCUAACCCUGUCACUCAGUGAGACCCCCAGAGAAGCCUAGUUUUCAGAUUAUUCUAGUCCUUGGCAGGCUCAAGAUGUCAACAACACGGUUGGAAACAACCCCUGAGAGGUCACAUAGCGCGCACUCAGCUUUAUAGAUCGUCCAAGGCAGCAAUUAGAAUCAGCAACUCGGAGAGGAAAAAAAGCUGUUAGCGGAAUGGAGGCUGACCAUUAUCUGUAGUAAAGAAUCGGAAGUACAGUACAAAAAUAAAUUACCGAAACGCAACAUGCGUGAAUUUCACACAAAAAAAUGAAGUUGAGGGAAAGAAGCCAGACAUGGAAGA